GCCACCCCCCUCCAGAACACCCACCCCCGGGGCCGGCGUCUGAGGAGGGGGGCCGCACCACCCCCAAAAAUGUUCUUGGAAAAAUUUAAGGACUUUUUCCCCCUUCUGUCUUUCCUCCCAAGAGAACAAGAAAGGGAGAUCGUUUAAAAAAAAAAAAUUAUAUAUAUGUAUAUAAAAGUUUUCGACUUCUCUCUACCCCCCUCGGUUGCUUUAAAUAUAUUUAAAUUCUGAGGGGGGCGCUCAGAAAUAUUUCUCAGAGCUGAGGCACUAAGAUGGCCGCCUUGAAAUUAUUUUUAAAACAACCCCCCCUCCAGCACUGCCACCCCCCUCUAUAAAGAAAGAGAGAGGGGGGUAAAAUCCCCUUUUAAAACAAAAUGGCUGGCUUAAUAUUUCAUUUUUCAUACACCCCCAUUCUCCCUGUUACAUCCAAUCUCCAAGCUUCUACUCAGAAACCCACAAAUUUCUCCCUUUUUUCAUAACUGAUUAGUGCACAGAUUAAUACAUUUUCCUUGUGUAUUGAGAGAGAGAGAGAGAGAGAGAGAGAGAGAGAGUGUGUGUGUGUGUGUGUGUGUGUGUGUGUGUUGGGGGGCAUGAAGGAUUUCUGCAUAAAACAAAAAUGGCUGCUGUGACUUAACUCCCCCCCUUAUAAAAAUAUUUGGGGGGGUAUUAAUCAGUACUCAUGCUCAGUCUGACAUCAGCAUAAAUUGUUAAAGGUUAACUAGUUAGAUACUAGUCCAACUAGAUUGAAUUUUUCUUUUCUUUACUAGUCUUCUUCCUCCCCCCACCUCCCUUCUCUAAAGAAAAGCUUUUUUUUUUUUUUUCUGAAUACUUCAGAAGGGAGUGGUUUGAUGUGAAGGUUUUUUUUUUUUUUCCUUCAGGCAUUGAAAAGGAAAAAGAUGAAAUAUAUGUUUAUAUAUAACUCUCUACAUACCUCAUUGAAGUCAAAAUGCAUUUAAUUGUUGGCUUGCUUGUAAAAUCGUCUGACUUGAGAAAUUAAUUUGGUGGUGACUAGGUCAGAUUUUUAGGAGAAAGAGGAGAGGGUCGGAUCUGAAGAUUGUGAAAUUCUUUUCUCCUGUGUCAUCGAACGCCUCUUCCUCCAUGACCUUCGACACUGAUAAAGUAGAAGAAACUGAGGCACGGGGAGAGGAAAGCAACUGAGAAGAGAGGAACGAGGUAGGGCGAACACUCAGGCCUUUUCACUGAACCGGCUGACCUGUCCUUUCAGACUGGAUCCCAGUGUUUAUCUUAAAGUUGUAGCAGGGAUCAGAUGAGCAGCUGAGCUGGAGCCCAGAAGUAAGUUUUUCCUACAGAGAAUUGACAGAGCCGGCUCUACUGGAAUAAAACUUGCCAAGAAGCCAAGCAAGAAGGGCAGAUAGCCUGGCUCCACCUUCUUUUUUGUUCUUGGCUCUUUUCUUCCCUCCAGUUUCCUCCCAUUCUUUUGAUCUGUCUUUGUUGCUCCCCAUCCAUGGCCUGGGGAAACCAUUUCUCCACUGCCCCCUGAGGCUCCCAGCAUUCAUGGGGACCCUGAGGGGAAGGUGGGCAACAGCCAGGGAAGGACUUGUAACAAAGGAAUAGUCUCCAGAAUAUUGUUUACAAUGCUAAGAUGUUUCUUCUUGAUGGUCCAGUCCCCCACCCCACCCCCACUACACUUUAGUUGGUUAAGCAUUGGUUUCUGUCUGUCUGUCUUUCUUUUUAACUGUGGAAUUAUCUUGCCUAUGCACCCAUAUUAUUUGGUUCUGUCCUCUCUCGAUUUCACUGCCAGUCUGGAUGGGUACCCCCUCUUUCUAUGUGUGGGCUCCUCUGUAAGUGCACUCAACCCCUCCGUGACACUUUUGCUGACACCUUUGACCCCAAGGGCCUCAUCAUUUCUAAGUGACGGACAUCUCUGUCCUCUGUUCACUUUCUCCCUUCCCGUCUGUGAAUACGGAUGGCUCUUCUUGAGUGUGCCUGGCUCCCCCUCUUCCUGGCCCGAGGAUGCGAACGUGCAUCAUCCUGACACUAAGAGUGUCUCCACUUGUGUGCGCGCCACAUUGCACAGCAUGUGGCAACAGUCUCUUGUGUCCUCUCCUGUGCCAGGCACCUCUGCCUGCCGGCCACACGUGUCACAGUCUGCAGGUGUAGGUGGCUGAUGGUGGUCGGUCGCCUCCCUGUGCAGGCCUGUAAUCCUUGUCUCUAACAGAGCACCUGUUAAUCUGCCCAGCUCCCUCUCCCACACUUUCCAUCUCCCCCCACACCGCCCCCAGCCUGUCUGCAUCUGCUCCCGCUUUUCCUGUGACCUCUUGAUGUGUCUUCUCACCUCGCUCCUGCCUGCCUCUCUACCUGCUUGCUUCUGUUAUGAUGCCUGCCUGCCUGUCUGCUCCUCCCUCACUGGCUGGCAGCUUUUUUCUCUCUCUGGUUGUCUGUCUGCUUCUCUGGCUGUUUGCCCACCACUCUCUCUCCCUAGCCAUCUGUCUCCCCGCCUGCCUGUCUCUGUCACUUUUAUAGCCUGAACCUCUUGGUUUGUCUACCUUCCAGGACUUGCCACAGUUUCCCAUCAUGGUUGGCCUCUCAUCUUGACCCUGUACUUGUUUCCGUUCCGCGUGUCUCCGCUGACUUCCUUGGCUUUCUUUGACUUCUUUUAGCUGUGUCCUCUCACUGCCUGUCUUGUCUGCUGCUCUCCGGCUGUUCAGUUUGUAUCUUUUUACUCUACUUAUCAGCUGUUUCUCCUAGGGCUUCCAAGGGUCGUGCUGACAACGCACCAAUGGGCUUAGUUCCUCUCCCCAGGCCCUUCAGCGGGUCCCUCGCCUUGAUGCCUUGACAUCUCAGCUGCAGUUGUACUGUACCCCUUACCACGCCUCCUUUUUAAUCUCUCUUCCUUGCUGCCUUCACAGGCAGUCUGCCUGCCUCUGUCUUUUUGCUAGUUUCCUAGUAUCUAUUUUCCUGGCUUUUUGCUGUCUGCUUAGCAGGUUCUGGCUGUCCACAUCUCUGCUUGCUUUUCUUUCUUCUUGUUUGUUUUAGGUACUUUUCCCCCCAGUCAACUUUCGAAUAGAUAUAAACAUGCUAUGAAAUUCUCAAAGUAUGAAACCUAAAGCUAGUGUGACACAGCUAACUAAUUAGGAGCAUUGGUGUCCUUCCAGAGGACCCAGGUUUGAUUACCAGUACUGAUGUGGUAGCUGACAACCAUCUGUAACUCCAGUUCCAAGGAUACAACGCCCUCUUCUGGUGUCUGUGGGUAUUGCAUGAAUGAUAUAACACUGAGGCAAAAUACCCAUACACAUAAAAAAUAAAGGGGCUGAAGAGAUGGGUCAGCAGUCAACUGCACUGUUGUUCUGGGGUUUGAUUACCAGCACCCACCUACCUUUCUGUAAUGCCAGUUAUAGAGAAGUUAACACCCUGAACCACCCAGCGCAGCAGGCACACACAGAGUGCACAGACAUACACGCAGCAAAACUCUCAUGCACAUAAAAUAAGUGCUUUUAAACAUAAGACUUUUAAUGAAGAAUAAAAGUCUCCUACAUCACCUUCUCUCCCAGGCCAGGAAUGCUUAAGAGCCAGUCAUCAUCCCAUUUGUUAGAUGCCACUACAGGGAGGUCCACACAUCUGAACCCCCACCACUCUGUGCACACAGCCACUCCCAUCCCUUCUCAGUGGGUGUGGUUCUUAUCUCCUCUCUCCCAGGUUCACCCAUACCCUGUCACACAUCAGGACUUCCUGACUUCUCCAGGCUUUGCUACCUCUCCCCGUUUACCGUUCCGAUCCAACCUUGUAGGUCUCACAGAGCUGGGUACCAUCCUUUUAAUUGACUGCUUGCUCUUUGCUUGCUUUCACUGCCGCAGAAAUGCUCAGGAAGGGCUUAUCCUCCCCUAAGUCAACCUGGUAGGUGACCUGGAUGACUGCACACACUCCUUGGUCUCUUCCCUAAAACCUGUGUCACAGAAAGACAUGGCUACACUGGGAGGAGUGAACUGCCACACCGACGCAGGUCGACGUCACAAGUGCAGUGACGUGCAAGCUGUGCGUCCCUGCAUGGGAAGCAGGUAGACGCCUUGCUCUGCUUUUCUCGUAUACAUUUACAAUUUCUGUCUUUUCCUUUUGUAGGGAAACAAAGUCUAGCCGCGUAGCCCGGGUUCCUCGGCUUCCCCAGUGCAUACCAUGCCUAGGUCUUCAGGGUGAGUGACUCUAGAUCCUUUUGGGGUGUUAAGUCUGUCCAAGAAGUUUGCCUUCUUCCUUAUCCAAAAAUUUUGCCCCCCUCCUCAACCCUUGUUCUAUCUCUUCUCUGUGCAUUUUAGAGACAGACUCGGACUGUACACAGACCGUUUUUUGAGAAAAAUGAUCAAACAUCUCCAUAUCAUGUACACUGUCCUUUAUUUUUGCUUCGUAAAUGGCCCGUGUUCGAGAACCUCCUCACUUGUUGGUUCUGUCUUUCCUCUUAGAUGUCUGUCUUCCUCUCUGUUCCCACCUCUGCUUUGGAUUGGCUGACUUUCUGUCUGUCUGACCCGUAUCCCUCCAUCAUCUCGUCUGCCUGCAGAACUGACUGUUGAUAAAUUGUGUGGCACCGUGUCUGUGUCGAACAUUACUUUGUCUUCUGUCUUACCCAGUCCUUCCAUCACUGUCUGCUUCCUCUCCCUGUGUGUUGGUCUUGGGAAUGCCACCUGCUUCUCGUGGCUGUUUCUCUUUUUUCUUGAUAGCCCGUCGUUCCGCGUUUCUCUGUCUGCUCCAUUCUUGUCUCUUUCCUUCUGUGUUCACAGGUUCCUCUGUAUUUCUUUUGUCCAUUUGUUCUCUGUCCUUGGGCCUUUUGUCUGUGAUUGUUUCACUGACUCUGAUGCCUGUCCCCUGCUAACAGUGUCAGUGUGGGCAUCUGCUCUCUCUUUCUUUUUUUUUUUUUUUAAUUUUUUAUUAGGUAUUUAGCUCAUUUACAUUUCCAAUGCUAUACCAAAAGUCCGCCAUACCCACCCACCCCCUGCUCUCUCUUUCUAUACUUCCAAAAGUAAGGCAGGUUGGAAUCUCUUGGUGAUUACUUCUUGUUUUUAUCGGAAGAAUGUUCGGGGAGAACAAGGAGCAUACAAAUAUGCAGUUAUCCCACACAGACUAGAGGUUGAGAGACCUCCCAGGGUAGACUAAGGAGCAUGCGAAAGACUGAGGAGACUCCUAAGCCAAUAAUAAGAUUACUCAAAGCUGGGCAUGGUGCCGCACGGCUUUAAUCCCAGCACUCAGGAGGCAGAGGCAGGUGGAUUUCUGAGUUUGAGGCCAGCCUGCUCUACAGAGUGAGUUCCAGGACAGCCAGGGCUACACAGAGAAACCCCUGUCUCGAAGAAAAAAAAAAAAAAAAAAAAAAAAAAACAGAAACAAAAACAAAAGAUUGCUCAAGAAAUCUAUCUAGGGGUUUGCAACCAAAUAGGAAGAACAACAAUAUCAACCAGCCAGACCCCCCCAGAACUCCCAGGGACUAAGCCAUCAACAAAGGAGUACACAUGGCUCCAGCUGCAUAUGUAGCAGAGGAUGGCCUUGUCAUGCAUCAAUGGGAGGAGAGGUUCUUGGUCCUAUGAAGGCUCGAUAGAUGCCCCAGUGUAGGGGAAUUGAGGGUGGGGAGGUGGGAGUGGGUGGAUGGGUGGAGGGACACCUUUAGAGAAGCAGGGGCAGGGAGGAUGUGAUAGGGUGUUUCUGGGGAGAAGGGGAUAACAUUUGAAAUGUAAAGAAAAUAUCCAAUUUAAAAAAAAAAGAAGAGGAUGGAGGUGGACAUGAAGCAUCAUGGCUUGAACCAGCCACAGCUAUGAUAUCAUAAGGUUAGAAUAAUUGGGAUAAAGCUUUUAGCAUUAUCAACUGACUCUGAAAUUAUUGUAUUGGCAUCUUGUAAGUUGUGAUUUUUAUUGAUACAUAAAUCUGAUUGGUUAACUUCUAAAAAAAGAAAUCUAAAGCAAUAGUUAAAAACCUUCCAGAUCAUACAAAGCUAUCAACUGUUUUGCUAGAGAAAAGGCAGGCACUCUGAGGGAGGAGCCCUGGCUCUACGCAAAGAAGCCUCACCACACACAGUCCUUCCUUCAUCUGUGCGGCUGGGUUCCAAACAGCUACAAAACCACUGGCCACACAACCCUGGAGACGUCAGUCCAAUCUCCGGUGCCCUCUUAAAAAGCCAGGCUUUGUUGUACAGACUGGUGACUCAGCUCUGGAGUAAGGAAGACAGGCAGCUCCCUGGAACUUGACAGCUCCUUAGGUUAGUCUAACUAGUAAGGCCCAGGUCCUAGGGAGAGACCUACCUCAAAACACAAGGUGGACAGAAAACCUCCACCUCUGGCCACCAUAUGCAUCAGCACACACGUGUGUGUAUAUAAUUACACCCAACACACACAUAAUAUAGUAAUAUUUUUAUUUAAGCCAGCAGGUAAUAAUAGUAAAAUGUACAUUUAUCAGUCAUUCAACUUAGUGAAUAUAAUAUUAUUGACAUCUUUAAAAUCACACAUGUGGGCUGGAGAAAUAGCUUGACAGUUAAGACUUACUUAUUACUCUUGCAAAGGACUGGGAUUCAGUUCACAGUACUUACACAACGCAGCUCAUAGCUAUCCAUAACUCCAGCUCCAGGAGACCCAAGGUCCUCUUCUUGCUUCCCAGCCCUCUUGCAGAAAAGUGGUUUCCCAUACAUUCAUACAAACACACAAACAUACAAAUAAAUAAAAAGUGAAAGUGAAACCUCAUGAGGUUCUUAGUGUUUCUACACAUUCCCAUCCUUUGUCUCUAUCAAAAUUUUGUGCUUAAAAUUUUGCUUUUGGGGGCUAGAGAGAUGGCUCAGUGAUUAAGAGCCCUGGCUGUGUUUACAGAGGCUGUGAAUUUGAUUCUAGACACCUACAUGAGGGCUCACAACUGCCUGAAACUCUAGUUCCCGGGGACCCUGCACCCCCUUGGUGCCUGUGGAUACCAGGCACAUGUGUGUUACACAGACAUACGUUCAGGCAAAACACAAAUAAUUUUAAAAAUUAAAAACAAUUUUUUCUUUUCCUUCCCAUCUGUAAUUUUUAAAAAACAUUUCUUUUGUAUGUGUACAGGUGUGUACACAUGCAUGCACCUCUCAUGCCCCAGCACAUAUGUAGAAGCCAGAAGACAACUUGCAAAAGUCAAUUCUUCCCUCCCACCAUGAGCAGGUCCUGGGAUUGAACUUAGUUUAUCAGGCUUGGCAGCAAGCCCCUCUACCCACUGACCAUCUCAGUCAUCCAUGGUAACUUCUUAAUUCUUAAAAAUGUCUAAUGUGUAGGAAAAAAUCUGAAAGAAUACAGUACUCAGGUCUUCCUCAUCUAAACUUAAUUGAUUGCUAGUGUUCGGUACAUCGACAACGGGCGUUAUCUUAGGUCUUUAGCUGUGUGUGCACUGUUGAGAGAUUAAGCUAAUGACUUUCCACUGAGCUAGGACCCCAUCCUAAGAGAAUCUAGCUUUAGAUCCAGGGUUGUUUCCGAAUUGCCCAGCUGGUAUUCAAAGCCCGCAGUCUUUGAAGGCUCCUGCAGUCCUGGUCAGAUCCCUGACGUCUCUCCCUUUGAGAUUAGUUUUUGUGGGGCUAGCAACAUGGCUGGAUGGGUAGGAGCCAUCCCUAACCACCUAGGUUGGACUCCCAGGAUCCACACUCUAAAAGGGGAGAGCCACCUUCUGGGUGUCCUCUGAUCUCUACAUGUGUGCUGUGGCAUGCACACAUCCCAGCAUGCACACACACACAUAUAUAAUACAUAUAAGUAAAUAUAAUUUUUAGAUGAGAAAAAUAGGUUAAUUUUCAUGAUCUGCACUAUUAAGUCUGUACCUCUUGGUCGCUCCCCUUAUUCACUGGGACCUGAACCUGGCCCUGGCCCCAGGCUGCCAUCACCUUGGGUCACCUGUGCUAUCUAGACCCUGACUCCAUGUCUUGCAGAGACCUUCCUCUGCCACCCUUGAGUGACCCCAGCCUCUGCACCUGCCUCCUCUGCAAUAUGAGAUAGAGGACACCCAUUGGCCACAACUCUGUGCCCCUGGCUUUCUCGUCUACUUACACUAUUCCAGGACCUAAGAAAUACUCCUCUAGGUCCCAACUUUCUCUUGACCAGGCCCACUUUUCACCUUUUUCCAGCAGCUUGACCUGCCCUGUCAGCUGCUCUUCCCAUGGCUGGUCUUCACAUCUGCCUUCCUGCAGUAGCAGUGUAGGAUCACCGUGGCUGUUUACCACCACGGGGCAAAGUGCUGCAGGUGAACCCUGGCCUUCUGACUAAGUCCUAGUCAGACUUAGUCAGGCCCUGUCCUCAUCAGCUUCCUUUGAGAGUCAGCAGUCUCCACGGUGGCUUUUCUAUUUAUAUUUAAAAGAUUGUAGUCCUAACACUGUGUGUGUGAGUGUGUAUGUGUGUGUGUGUGUGUGUGUGUGUGUGUGUGCAGGUGCCCCAGAGGCCAGAAGCAUUGUAUUCCCUGGAGCUGGAGUUAAGGUAAUUGUGAGCUCCCCACUGUGGCUGCUGGGAACUGAGCUCAGUCCUCUGCAACAGCAGUAUGUGAUAUUAAUCUUUCAGGGGGGGCUUAAGAGCACUGACUGCUCUUCCAGAUUGUCCUGAGUUCAAAUCCCAGCAACCACAUGGUGGCUCACAACCAUCUGUAAUGAGAUCUGACGCCCACUUCUGGAGUGUCUGAAGACAGCUACAGUGUACUUACAUAUAAUAAAUAAAUAAAUAAGUCUGGUCUACUUCCAGAUAGAAUGAAGGAGGCAGGACAAGAAGAAAAAAUUUCAACACCAGCCUACAUUAUAACAAAACCCUGCUUCAAAAAGUAGGUUUGAGCCAGGCAGUAGUGGCACACGCCUUUAAUCCCAGCACUUGGGAGGCAGAGGCAGGCAGAUUUCUGAGUUCGAGGCCAGCCUGGUCUAAAGAGUGAGUUCCAGGACAGCCAGGGCUACACCGAGAAACCCUGUCUCGGGGAAAAAAAAAAGAAAAGUAGGUUUGGCACCAGUAUUUCAAAGGAGUUCUCUCUGAUUAAACUGCUAUUAUUCAUACAUUUAACAUAUGUACAGUUUUAAUUUAAAUAUUAAUAAAAUAAAAACAGUACUGUAUUAGUAUGCUAAUAGUAAAUAUAAUAUUUUGAUAUCACAAAUUUUAAUAAAAUAAAUUAAUACAAUAAGAAGCCAGCUAUAGUGGCACACAUCUUUAAUCACAACACUCAGGAUGCAAAGACAGACAUAUUUCAGAGAGUUUUAGGUCAGCCUAGUCUACGUGACCACUUGCAGGCCAACCAGGGCUACAUAGUGAAAUUCUAUCUAAAAAAAUGGUUUAGGGGUUGGAGAGGGGCUCAGUGGUUGAUAGCAACCCUUCCACUUGAAAUUAGAAAAAUAGUUUUAAAUGAACAAGAAUGAGAUGCAGCAAAUGCUUUCCUGAUCGUGUGUGAGGAGGUUUAAGCUACGAUGAAAAAAGCCGUAAAGACAUUUCUUAUACAUUUAACAAAACUAAAAUGUACUAUGUAGAAUAUUAUAACAUUACAGAUAAUCAGGGGCCAGUGAGGUAAGGUCUUUUUUUUUUUUUUUUUUUUGAGACAGGGUUUCUCUGUGUAGCCCUGGAACUCAAUCUGUAGACCAGGCUGGCCUCGAACUCAGAAAUCUGCCUGCCUCUGCAUCCCAAGUGCUGGGAUUAAAGGCGUGCGCCACCACUGCCCAGCAGGUAAGGUAACUUUUAUGACAACUUGGUGACCUAAAUUCAACCCCCAGGACUUACAUGAUAGGAAAACUGAUUCCCAAAAGCUGUCCUCUGAUCCUUCCUCCCUAUGCUGUGUCAUAUGCCUGUGAACAUACACAUAUGCAUAUGCAAGAGAGAGAGAGAGAGAAGAAAGAGAGAGAGAGAGAAGACAGAAAGGAAGGAAGGAAGAGACGCAGAGCAGAGGCAGGCAGAUCUCUGAGUUUGAGUCCAGCCUGGUCUACAGAGUGAGUUCCAGGGCUACACAGAGAAACCCUGUUGGGGGCGGGGAAGGGGGGAGGUAGGGAGAGGGAGAAGAGAGACCUUGUCCAGGAAAUGAUGAAAUUACUAAACUUGCUGAAAGGGCCAGAGAGCAGCGUAGCAGCAGGUUCCAGCAGAGAGCACACUGCAGAACUGGCUCAGCAGAGCUUUUCCUAUCUCUAUUGUGGCCAGGAAACUGUUGGUCAACAGCUGGUUCCACAGUCCCUCUAACAGUGUCAAGUGACAGGAGUCAGUGAGUAGAAAGGACAGUUAUAAGGGGGGAGAGUCAGCUAAGGUUCCCUGCUUGCUCAGAAACAAGGUCUCACUGUGCUACCUGGGUGUUCCAAACCUGAGCAUUCAGGUCGGCUUCCUAAGUAGCUAGGUACUGUAGGUCUACGGCACCACACCUGGGUGUAAUGUUUCUUUUUGGGUGUAAAGAUCCUUUUUGCCUUCCUUCCUUUCUUCCUUCCUUCUUUGAGAUAGGGUCUGAUUCUAUAAACCUUGAUUGGCUGCCCUUGAACUCACAGAGAUCCAUCGGUCUCUGCCUCCUAGUGCUAGUACUAAAGGUGUGAAAUAGCAUACCCAGCUGUUUUAAGUAAAGAUCACUGCCUCACUGGGAUGGCUCGGCAGGUAGAGGCACUUGCUGCCAGUCCUCGUGACCCAUAUGCCAGUGACCAUCCCCUCCACACAAACAGAAAUAUAAUUUAAAAAACUGGAUAGGGACUAUAGAGAAAGCCGUAACAACAACGACGGCGACGACAAAAUCACUAGAAGAAUUUAACAAGGUGACGUGAGAGGAUGACUGCUUGUCCUUACGUAGUUGUGCUUUGUGUCCAGGGGCUUCCCUGGGCAAGCACUCAAGAAGUGCCUCACUCCUUCCAGUGACCUUCAACAGCAGCGACCUUCACAAUCGCCAUUUUAGGAAACAGAGGUGAAGGGAGGUCAGAAAGCUUCUCCAAGGUCAGAGCUAUUUAGAGGUAAAGUAGGCAUUUAGAUGCCAAAUUCAUGGACCGGGAUACAAGAGGAAGUUGGGUGAUAUGUUGACUCUAGGAUUGGAAUACCACUAUUAGAAUCACAGAAAUUAAAUGGAAAAGGAGAUGGCUUCAAGAGUAGGUGAUGCUAGCAGGAUAAGACAGACAUCUUUAACCACCACCACCACCACCACCACCACCACCACCACCACCCACCUUCCACCCCCGCUUGCUGUGAGCUGUGAAAACCCCCAUUGUACUUGGGGUCCCAGCAAGGAACUCACAACUGCUGUAAUACACCAUUUCUAGUGAAGGAGUAUAGUCUUCCAAUACUUUCACAGCUGUCUUGCCACCAAACUCCUCCCUUCACUUUCUAAGGAGCUACCAGCUUAAGAAGAGGAAGAUAGAUGCACAAAAUUGUUGCCUCCUUUUUCUCCUCCUCCUCCUCUCCCUCCUCCUCCUGAAGACAUGCAUUGCCUGACUAUUGGAUGGAACUGAAUACAAAGUUGAGUUAUGCCUUAUGUACAGAUACUUUAUUAAUAAAAAUAUUUUAUUAUACAGAUUAAGUGCCUCUAAUAGGAUAUUUUAAGUGUUUCAAAGUCCAAGACUUGAAUAUCAACAUGAUAUCCUUAUGUUGGGGUCACGGCAAACGUGUAGGCACACUAAGAAUGUUGAAUUAAGUUACCUUCAAGCUAAGUAGGUAAGACUUAUGAAACAUAGUGUUUUAGGGUCUAGAUGAUCCCAUAACCAAGAGUUUUCAUAAAGUAUAUACAGAUCUUCCACAGUCCAAAACCAUCCCUAAUCUCUCAGCUUGUUCCAAGCGUUUAGGAAAAAGGACACUCAAAGCUUCCUGCCACCUAGCCAUCUAGAGAUGCCCGCCUUCUGUUGUCAAGUCCAGCAGGCCCAGCAGAGUUACCUGGCACGCUCCCAACCGUCAGCUCUCCUGCUCUGUAGGCUCUAGAUCCACGGACAGUUGCUAAUGCCCCUGGCUCCCUCCUGCCUCUGCAUUUGCUCUUAACUGAAAUAUAUGGAAAGCGAGUUAGUGUAGCUUAUAUAUUUACAACUAGUUCUUAAGAUUCCAUAUUUAAAGACUGUAUAACUUCCAAAAUCCACCCUAGAGCCAAUCAUGAAGCUACCCUGUAUCUGUAAGGCAAGGAAUGCCAGAGUCAGACAGGCAGGCAAACCCGGCCACCUUCCCUUACUGACUUUGCCCCUCACUCUGCCGCCCUGUUAGCCCCUGGUUCCUCCAGCCUUAUAGCCUUCCCUGUGAAGUCAGCCUGCCUCCUUGUAGUGAGGAGAAGGGAACUGACUUAAAUAAGGCACUGCCUGGAGGAGAGCGCCCUCAGUAAUUGCUAGUUGUUCUGAAUAAUCAAAUGUACAGUUAGGCUGUUUCUCUCUUUGGAGAGAUUCCUUUUAGGUGAUUUCAAGGUGAAAGGACUUGUGACCUUGGAGAUUAUAUAUAUAUAUAUAUAUAUUCCUAAACUGAAAGUGCAGGAGAUGAACUUCGGUUAAUCUUAUUCCAAACCCGUCCAUCCCCUUGCUUUGCUUCGCUUUACAUAAAAAAGCUCAACUCUGACAGGACAUGAAACAAGCACCUUUAACUUGACUUAGUAAUUCUCAGAGACACGUAACUAUUUGGUUGAAAAUAGAAAGUUAGUUCCAGCUAUGAUCUACUAAUUUUCUGAUCACGACAGAUAUUCCUGGAUGCUAAAUCUUGCCAAACCUCAGGUCAGAGCAGGAGCUUCUGUACCAGGCCGUGCUCAGGGCUCUGUCUGUCGUCCUUGCUGUCACUGUCUGUUGUCUGUCUCUUGUGGUUGAAGAAAUGGCAUCUAAAGAAAGUAUUUUAUACGAAGUUACUGAUCAAGAAUAUUCUUCUCUUCUAAGAAGCAGCUGGGGUUUUCUGGCAUUCCAUGCUUCUCCUGUGAGGUUGCAGCCUGUCUCCUGUAACAGACACUGCUACCCGGGUGCUGUUUCCAAGAUCUGCAGAUACUUAAGUCAUUGUCUUAAUACCGGACCCCAUCCAACAUUUCACACGGUUCACCGCCCCUGCCUCAAGUGUGCUCCUACAUCUGUGGUACCAGCCUCCUUCUCACCUCUAGCUCUUCCUGAGUUUCCCUUCCUUCCUCCCCUGCCAGGCUUUCUGCUCAGAUCUCAUUACUCACCAGGUGACCUCAUCCUUAGCUUUGGCUACAGUUACUGCUAGCCAGGAAUUCCUGGCUGAAGGGACCCAGAGCACCAGUUCCAAAUAUUUUCACGUCACAAAGUUACCACAAACAGCUAACCUCCUCUUUCAGCUCCCGCUCCUUACCCUGGAGUCACUGUCUGUCCAUCCAGGCGCUCAGGCCAGACAGAUCCUCGGGUGUCAUUCUUGGCUCCUCCCUGUGCCUCUGACUCUGGCAGGGGAGUUACUCUACCAUUCCUCCUCCUCGGCCUCCACUGUCCUAGCCCUGCUGCCUUUGGGUCUCUCCAAGGGCUGCAGUUGUUUCAGCCUCACUGUUGCCCCCACCUCCCUACUCUAUUCUAGACUCUCUUGACUUUGGAGAUAGCUGUUUGAAACACUUAUCUGCCCAUGUAUGGUGGUGCGCACCUUUAAUCCCAGCACUGGGGAGGCAAUCAGUCCAGUUUCUGAGUUUGAGGCCACACUAGUCUUCCAACAGAGUUCCAGGCCAGCCUGAUCUACAUGCAGAGUUCCAGGCCAGCCAGGGCUACAUAGUGAGAGUCUCCCAAAGGAAAACAAACGAAAUCCUCCCUCUCAAAAUAAAUGUGGGGCCUACAGAUGACUUAGCAGGUAAGGAUGCAUGCUACAGGAGGGAAGAACAGACUCAUGUAAAUUAUCUUAUGACCUGCACAGAGAGAGAGAGGGGGAGAGGAAGAGGGAGAGACACAAAUAUAAAAAAAAAAAAUAAAUGUAAAAAAAUAAUUGUAGGUGGCUGUGGUGACACACAAUUUUAAUCCCAGCACUGGGGAGACAGAGGCAGGCAGAUCUCUUGAGUUUGAGGCCAGCCUGGUCUAGAGAGAGAGUUUCAGGACAGCCAGGGCUACACAUAGAAACCCAGUCUCAAGCAGAAAAGAAAGUCAUACAAAAAAAUAAUUUUAAUGCAAAUCUUCCCCUUAGAAAGCUCUUAACUCUGACUUAUAUACUGUAAAGGGGUAAAUAGUAUAUCAGUUCUUUAUAAGAGCAAAGUAAAGCCUUGGCCUGGUUGACCAAGCUCCCGUAGCCUGGCCUGGUUUCUUCUCUGCCCUCCCCAUGCUGCACAUCCUCGCCUCUAAGGUGUGUGCUGUCCUCCACCUGCCCCUACCCUCUCCCUGGCCUGACAUGGAGGCAGACACCUCCCUGCCUUCAGGUCUCAGCUUGAGAUGACAUUGCUCCGGAAACCUUCCCUGGUCCCCACGGAAGGGGAUGGGGAUAGCUAGCUGCCUGUGUUCCUGAGCACAGCCUAGGCCAUGGAGCUACCCAUGUUACUUUACUCCUGUGUAGCAUUGGCUGAUCACACAUUUGUUGAUUGUUGUGGAUAUUUGUUGAACAGCUGCUCUGGGCUGGGUAUGGAGCUAGUGCUGAGUGUUCCGUGGCAAGUGAGUCUCUAUUCUCUUAGGCUCUAAGAAGGAAAAAAGGUGGACAGGAACCUAUACCACAAGGGCCAGUGAUGUUGUUUGGUGCAUAAAGUGUUUACAUGGCAUUGGCAAAGCCCUGAGUUCACACCCCAAGCACUGCAUAGAAACCUGGUAUUGUGCUGCAUUCAUGUAAUCCAGCAUUGGGAGGCAGAGACAGGAACAGCAGUUCAAGGUCAGAGCCUUUAUGGUGAGGACUCGGCAGGUAGAAGUGUUUGCUGAGCUAGCCUCAAACAUGCCGUAACCCACAUAUCCUCAUGCACUCUAAUAAUAGCAUUAGCAUAAAGUUCUUUAUAAAUAUACAUUUAUGCCAGGCAUGGUGGCACACACUCUUUAUCCUGGCACUCAAGAAGCAGAGGCAGGCCAGGCGGUGGUGGCACAGACCUUAAAUCCCAGCGCUUAGGAGGCAGAGGCAGGUGAAUUUCUGAGUUCGAGGCCAGCUUGGUCUACAAAGUGAGUUCCAGGACAGCCAGGGCUACACAAAGAAACCCUGUCUCGAAAAACAAAAAAAGCAAGCAAGCAAGCAAAAAACCAAAAAACAAAAAUUAAACUUUAAAGAUCAUACUGUUACAAGCAAGUCUGAGGCCAAACUGGGCUCUAGAGACCUUAUCUUAACAUGAAGGCAAUAGAGGUUUGGAGUGGCUUCACUGGUGAGGUGAUUGCUGUGCAAGUAUGAUGACCUGAACAUGAAUCCUUAAUGCUUAAAGUCAGUCAUGGCAUCCUGUGUUAGUAAUCCCACCACUGGGGAGCUGAAUACCCCGGAGCUCACUGGUAUAGCCACAUCGUGAGCUCCAGAGCCAGUGAGAGACACCAUCCCAAGCAAUAGCCCAGAGAGGCUGGAGGUCAAGAACACCAACUGCUCUUAGAGGACCCAGAGCCUUCUGUGACUCCAGUUCCAGGGCACCCGACACCUCUGGGGGCACAAAACACGUGGCUGUGAGUCACGGUGUGGAUGCUGGGAAUUGAACCUUGUCCUCUGGAAGAGCAGCCAGUGCUCUUAACUGCUGAGCCAGCCAUCUCUCUGGCCUCAUGUUAAGAGUUUAUUCCUUAACUCUAAGGAAGUCUUUGGAAACUUUAACAACUCCCUGCCUACUGUAUAAAAGUGGAAGACGGAUGGCAAGUUUAACAGGUCCCAAACUUCCCCGAAUCUCCUAAUAAGUUUUUGUUUGUUUGUUUGUUUGAUAAGUUAUUUCUCCACCAGAGAAAUGAGCCAAUUUAUGCCAGAUUAGUUUCUAUUAAAGGGAGGUUUGUUGGGAAGCUGCUUUCAGGCAAGUUCACUGGCCCCAAGGACUAAGGCCAGGGGAGUUGCCAUGGAAGGGAGAGGUGGGAGGAGAGAAGAGAAGCAGAAGAAAGACAGCAGGGAGACCAAAAUGCCUGGAGUAUCUGAGGAAGAGCCUCUGUGGGAAGGCAGCCCAGCCCCUGGGCUGGCAAGUUCAUAGUUGGGGCACAAUAUUCCAGGUAGGGUCUGAGGGAUGCUGGGAUGUGUAAGAUAUGCACCUCUGUCCCUUGUCCGGGGGCCUGAAACCAAACAUUGCUUCGUUUUGUUUUCUCUAUGUAGCCCUGGCUCUCCUGGAACUCAAGAGAUCAGCCUGCCUCUGCCUCCUGAGUGCUGGGAUAAAACAUUUUCUCCUAUCACUGCACACACUGUAUUUCCCAAACAUGCCCGUCAGAACUGUGGUAGUUUGAAUGCGAAUAGGGAGUGGCAUCCUUAGGAGGCAUGGCCUUAUUGAAAGAAGUGUGUCACUGAGGGGUAGACUUAAGGUUUCCCAAGUCAAGCCAGGACCAGUGUGUCUCUCCUCCUGCUGCUGCCUUCAGAUCUGGAUGUGGCACUAGCAGCUCCUUCUCCAGACCAUGCCACCUGUGUGCUGCCAUGCUUCCUGCCCUAACAAUAAUGGACAAAAUCUCUGAACUGUAAGCCAGCCCCAAUUAAAUGUUGUCCUUUGUAAGAGAUGCUAUGGUGACUGGAGAGAUGGCUCAGUGGUUAAGAACACCGGCUGCUCUUUCAGAGGACCUGAGUUCAAUUCCCAGCAACCACAUGGUGGCUCUCAACCAUCUGCAAUGGGAUCUAAUGCUCUCUUCUGGUGUGCACUCACAUACAUAAAAUAAAUCUUUAAAAAAAAGAAAAAAGGUUACUGUGGUCACGGUGUCUGUUUACGCCAUAGAGACACUGACUAAGACCUCAGAUCUUCCAUGUUGUUCUGGUCGUGACUUUGCUUUUCGAGGCAGGGUCUCAUGUAGCUCAGGCUGACUUUGAGCUAACUAGCUGAGGCUAGCCCUGACCUCCUUAUCUUCCUCCCUCCACUUCCCAAGUCCCUGAGGUGUUCCAAGUUCCACGUGUUCUUAGUGUCAUGUAGACACACUCCCUGCUGAGAGAUAAAGUCUUCUUCCCUCCCCUCCAAUAUGAAGACAUGAUCCAUCUUCACCCUGGUUCUCUGGAGGCUUGUUCACGCUUAGAACCCAGCUCCAAUACAGUAAGGAGGUCCAAGCUCGCCUGAGAAGAGGCUCAGACGAGGAAGAAAGAGGUCCUCCAGGGUCGGGGUGUAGUGCAGUGAAAGAGCAAUUGCCUAGAAUGGUGGAGGUCCUGGAUUUGGUCCCAUAGCACUGAAUAAAAAGUUAAGAAAACGGAACCUCCCGCUUCCAGAAAUGUACCCCACUUCAUGCAUCUGGAUAUAGAAAUGAGCUGCAGUACCUAACUCAGCCUGAACUGCAGAUGCAUUCACAAAGUGACGGUGCUGGUUGUUAAGGUCUCCGUCUAAGGGUGUUUGCUGACAGUGACAAGGGAGUGGAUGGCAUCCUGUCUACUGUGCAGUGGGGGUUGGGGGCGCAAUGCAGUGUUUAGUGGAUGGACUGUUUCUGUCUUGCUUCAAGAUGUUAAAUAUUUAUUUUAUGUAUAUGAGUCCACUGUAGCUGUACAGAUAGAUGGUUGUGAGCCUUCACAUGGUUGCUGGGAAUUGAAUCUAGGACCUCUGCUUGCUCCAGUCAGCCUCACUCGCUCUGGCCCACAGAUUUAUUAUUAUAAGUAUACUCAGACACACCAGAAGAGGGCUAGGGGGUGGCGCUAUUUGGAAGUGUGGCCUUGUUGGAAUAGGUAUGUCACUGUGGCCGUGGGCUUUAAGACCCUCAUCCUAGCUGCCUGGAAGUGAGUAUUCUGCUAGCAGCCUUCAGAUGAAGAUGUAGAACUCUCAGCUCCUCCUGUACCAUUUCUGCCUGGAUGCUAACAUAUUUCCACCUUGAUGAUAAUGGACUGGACCUCUGAACCUGUAAGCCAGCCCCAAUUAAAUGUUGUCCUUAUAAGA